rnacentral:rRNA from 1 species
AAGGACUGGGCAAGACCGGUGCCAGCCGCCGCGGUAAUACCGGCAGUCCAAGUGAUGGCCGAUAUUAUUGGGCCUAAAGCGUCCGUAGCUUGCUGUGUAAGUCCAUUGGGAAAUCGACCAGCUCAACUGGUCGGCGUCCGGUGGAAACUACACAGCUUGGGGCCGAGAGACUCAACGGGUACGUCCGGGGUAGGAGUGAAAUCCUGUAAUCCUGGACGGACCACCAAUGGGGAAACCACGUUGAGAGACCGGACCCGACAGUGAGGGACGAAAGCCAGGGUCUCGAACCGGAUUAGAUACCCGGGUAGUCCUGGCUGUAAACAAUGCUCGCUAGGUAUGUCACGCGCCAUGAGCACGUGAUGUGCCGUAGUGAAGACGAUAAGCGAGCCGCCUGGGAAGUACGUCCGCAAGGAUGAAACUUAAAGGAAUUGGCGGGGGAGCACCACAACCGGAGGAGCCUGCGGUUUAAUUGGACUCAACGCCGGAAAUCUCACCGGUCCCGACAGUAGUAAUGNGAUGAAACUUAAAGGAAUUGGCGGGGGAGCACCACAACCGGAGGAGCCUGCGGUUUAAUUGGACUCAACGCCGGAAAUCUCACCGGUCCCGACAGUAGUAAUGACAGUCAGGUUGACGACUUUACUCGACGCUACUGAGAGGAGGUGCAUGGCCGCCGUCAGCUCGUACCGUGAGGCGUCCUGUUAAGUCAGGCAACGAGCGAGACCCACACUUCUAGUUGCCAGCAACACCCCUGUGGUGGUUGGGUACACUAGGAGGACUGCCAUUGCUAAAAUGGAGGAAGGAAUGGGCAACGGUAGGUCAGUAUGCCCCGAAUGGACCGGGCAACACGCGGGCUACAAUGGCUAUGACAGUGGGAUGCAACGCCGAGAGGCGACGCUAAUCUCCAAACGUAGUCGUAGUUCGGAUUGCGGGCUGAAACCCGCCCGCAUGAAGCUGGAUUCGGUAGUAAUCGCGUGUCAGAAGCGCGCGGUGAAUACGUCCCUGCUCCUUGCACACACCGCCCGUCAAAGCACCCGAGUGGGGUCCGGAUGAGGC